AAUUCAGGGGGUAGUCUUCCCUGAUCAGAGGUCUGAUGCGUGACGUUACACCUCGGGACACUCGCCCCUCCCUCCGAGCGCCGAGCGCAAGGCAAUUUGCGGGGGAGUCCGGGACCUGCUUCGGAAUCCUCGUUACCCAACUGGGAGACACAGCACCACACUUAGAAGUUUCCAAGACGCGGGGCACACCUGAUCGCGGGCUGUGUCACCACGGCGGCCGAAUUCCCUCCAAUCUCAGCCAACCCAAUCCGCCACCCCACCCAAGGCACACGAAGUCCCGGGUGGCGUGGCGCCCAUCCGGAUGGCCAGUUUCACUCAGUCGCGCUCCCAGCUAGCCGGGAGCGGAUUGGUGGGUGUCGCGGUGACGCUCUGGCAGGGAUGCCCUUGGUCAAGCCUCGGGCGCAACUUGCGUUCAAAGACUCGAUGAUUCGCGGAAUUCUG
rnacentral:rRNA from 1 species